rnacentral:rRNA from 1 species
UGGUGACGUGUGGAGCUGAUUCAUACUAAUAGGUCGAGGGCUUAACCGAA